rnacentral:hammerhead_ribozyme from 1 species
AUCCAGUUGACGAGUCUCAAAUAGGACGAAACGCGCUUCCUUGAU